rnacentral:rRNA from 1 species
GGGGGGAGCAAGCGUUGUUCGGAUUUACUGGGCGUAAAGGGCGCGUAGGCGGCCACCGCAAGUCGACUGUGAAAUCUCCGGGCUUAACUCGGAAAGGUCAGCCGAUACUGCGGGGCUAGAGUGCAGAAGGGGCAACUGGAAUUCUCGGUGUAGCGGUGAAAUGCGUAGAUAUCGAGAGGAACACCUGCGGCGAAGGCGGGUUGCUGGGCUGACACUGACGCUGAUUGUGCGAAAGCUAGGGGAGCGAACGGGAUUAGAUACCCCGGUAGUCCUAGCCUUAAACGAUGAAUGCUUGGUGUCUGGGGUUUUAUAGUCCCCGGGUGCCGUCGCUAACGCUUUAAGCAUUCCGCCUGGGGAGUACGGUCGCAAGACUG